GACGAACGCUGACGGCGUGCUUAACACAUGCAAGUCGAACGGAGUUCCUUGGAUAGAGGCUUCGGCCAAUUGAAUUGGAACUUAGUGGCGGACUGGUGAGUAACGCGUGAGGAACCUGCCUUUCAGAGGGGGACAACAGUUGGAAACGACUGCUAAUACCGCAUGACACAUUCGAGCGGCAUCGCUUGAAUGUCAAAGAUUUUAUCGCUGAAAGAUGGCCUCGCGUCUGAUUAGCUAGUUGGUAGGGUAACGGCCUACCAAGGCGACGAUCAGUAGCCGGACUGAGAGGUUGACCGGCCACAUUGGGACUGAGAUACGGCCCAGACUCCUACGGGAGGCAGCAGUGGGGAAUAUUGGGCAAUGGACGCAAGUCUGACCCAGCAACGCCGCGUGAAGGAAGAAGGCUUUCGGGUUGUAAACUUCUUUUAAGUGGGAAGAGUAGAAGACGGUACCACUUGAAUAAGCCACGGCUAACUACGUGCCAGCAGCCGCGGUAAGAC
rnacentral:rRNA from 1 species